AACGAACGUUAGCGGCGCGCUUAACACAUGCAGGUCGUGCGAGAAAGGGGCAACCCCGGUAAAGCGGCGCACGGGUGAGUAACACGUAGGUAAUCUGCCCCCAGGUGGUGGAUAACCUUCCGAAAGGAGGGCUAAUACAGCAUGAGACCACGGUCCCGCAAGGGAUUGAGGUCAAAGCCGGCCUCUUCAUGAAAGCUGGCGCCAGUGGAUGAGCAGGCGGCCCAUCAGCUAGUUGGUAGGGUAACGGCCUACCAAGGCGAAGACGGGUAGCUGGUCUGAGAGGAUGAUCAGCCACACUGGAACUGAGACACGGUCCAGACUCCUACGGGAGGCAGCAGUGGGGAAUCUUGCGCAAUGGGCGAAAGCCUGACGCAGCGACGCCGCGUGAGUGAUGAAGGCCUUCGGGUUGUAAAGCUCUGUGGAGGGGGACGAAUAAGUCGUGGCCAACAUCCACGAUGAUGACGGUACCUCUUUAGCAAGCACCGGCUAACUCUGUGCCAGCCGCCGCGGUAACAC
rnacentral:rRNA from 1 species